GUGGGGAAUAUUGGACAAUGGGCGCAAGCCUGAUCCAGCCAUGCCGCGUGAGUGAUGAAGGCCCUAGGGUUGUAAAGCUCUUUCACCGAUGAAGAUAAUGACGGUAGUCGGAGAAGAAGCCCCGGCUAACUUCGUGCCAGCAGCCGCGGUAAUACGAAGGGGGCUAGCGUUGUUCGGAAUUACUGGGCGUAAAGCGCACGUAGGCGGAUAUUUAAGUCAGGGGUGAAAUCCCAGAGCUCAACUCUGGAACUGCCUUUGAUACUGGGUAUCUCGAGUAUGGAAGAGGUGAGUGGAAUUCCGAGUGUAGAGGUGAAAUUCGUAGAUAUUCGGAGGAACACCAGUGGCGAAGGCGGCUCACUGGUCCAUUACUGACGCUGAGGUGCGAAAGCGUGGGGAGCAAACAGGAUUAGAUACCCGAGUAGUCC
rnacentral:rRNA from 1 species